rnacentral:rRNA from 1 species
AGAGUUUGAUCAUGGCUCAGGAUGAACGCUAGCUACAGGCUUAACACAUGCAAGUCGAGGGGCAGCAUUGGAGUAGCAAUACUCAGAUGGCGACCGGCGCACGGGUGAGUAACACGUAUCCAACCUGCCGCUUACUCGGGGAUAGCCUUUCGAAAGAAAGAUUAAUACCCGAUGGUAUAAAGAGUUCGCAUGUUCUCUUUAUUAAAGAAUUUCGGUAAGCGAUGGGGAUGCGUUCCAUUAGAUAGUUGGCGGGGUAACGGCCCACCAAGUCUACGAUGGAUAGGGGUUCUGAGAGGAAGGUCCCCCACAUUGGAACUGAGACACGGUCCAAACUCCUACGGGAGGCAGCAGUGAGGAAUAUUGGUCAAUGGACGAGAGUCUGAACCAGCCAAAAGUAGCGUGAAGGAUGACUGCCCUAUGGGUUGUAAACUUCUUUUAUAAGGGGAUAAAGUGAGGGACGUGUCCCUUUUUGUAUGUACCUUAUGAAUAAGGAUCGGCUAACUCCGUGCCAGCCGCCGC